rnacentral:rRNA from 1 species
GACGAACGCUGGCGGCGUGCUUAACACAUGCAAGUCGAACGGAAAGGCCCUGCUUUUGUGGGGUGCUCGAGUGGCGAACGGGUGAGUAACACGUGAGUAACCUGCCCUUGACUUUGGGAUAACUUCAGGAAACUGGGGCUAAUACCGGAUAGGAGCUCCUGCUGCAUGGUGGGGGUGGAAAGUUUUCGGCGGUUGGGGAUGGACUCGCGGCUUAUCAGCUUGUUGGUGGGGUAGUGGCUUACCAAGGCUUUGACGGGUAGCCGGCCUGAGAGGGUGACCGGCCACAUUGGGACUGAGAUACGGCCCAGACUCCUACGGGAGGCAGCAGUGGGGAAUAUUGCACAAUGGGCGGAAGCCUGAUGCAGCAACGCCGCGUGCGGGAUGACGGCCUUCGGGUUGUAAACCGCUUUCGCCUGUGACGAAGCGUGAGUGACGGUAAUGGGUAAAGAAGCACCGGCUAACUACGUG